AGUGGCGGACGGGUGAGUAACGCGUGAGAAUCUGCCUUGGGGUCGGGGACAACCACUGGAAACGGUGGCUAAUACCGGAUAAGCCGAUUGGUGAAAGAUUUAUUGCCCGAAGAGGAGCUCGCGUCUGAUUAGCUAGUUGGUGAGGUAAGAGCUCACCAAGGCAGCGAUCAGUAGCUGGUCUGAGAGGACGAUCAGCCACACUGGGACUGAGACACGGCCCAGACUCCUACGGGAGGCAGCAGUGGGGAAUUUUCCGCAAUGGGCGAAAGCCUGACGGAGCAAGACCGCGUGAGGGAGGAAGGCUCUUGGGUUGUAAACCUCUUUUCUCAGGGAAGAAGCUCUGACGGUACCUGAGGAAUCAGCCUCGGCUAACUCCGUGCCAGCAGCCGCGGUAAUACGGAGGAGGCAAGCGUUAUCCGGAAUUAUUGGGCGUAAAGCGUCCGCAGGCGGCGAUUCAAGUCUGCUGUCAAAGCACGGGGCUUAACUCCGUAAAGGCAGUGGAAACUGAAUAGCUAGAGUGCCGUAGGGGUAGAGGGAAUUCCCGGUGUAGCGGUGAAAUGCGUAGAGAUCGGGAAGAACAUCGGUGGCGAAAGCGCUCUACUGGACGGCAACUGACACUCAGGGACGAAAGCUAGGGGAGCGAAUGGGAUUAGAUACCCC
rnacentral:rRNA from 1 species